GAUGAACGCUAGCGGCAGGCUUAAUACAUGCGAGUCGAGGGGCAGCAUGACUGUAGCAAUACAGUUGAUGGCGACCAGCAAACGGGUGCGGAACACGUACAGAACCUUCCUUCGAGCGGGGAAUAGCCCAGAGAAAUUUGGAUUAAUACCCCAUAGUACAACGGAGUGGCAUCACUUUGUUGUUAAAGAUUUAUCACUUGAAGAUGGCUGUGCGGCUGAUUAGGUAGUUGGCGGGGUAACGGCCCACCAAGCCUGCGAUCAGUAACUGGUGUGAGAGCACGACCAGUCACACGGGCACUGAGACACGGGCCCGACUCCUACGGGAGGCAGCAGUAAGGAAUAUUGGUCAAUAGACGAAAGUCUGAACCAGCCAUGCCGCGUGGAGGAUGAAGGUCCUCUGGAUUGUAAACUUCUUUUAUAUGGGACGAAAAAAGGGUUUUCUAACUCGUCUGACGGUACCAUAUGAAUAAGCACCGGCUAACUCCGUGCCAGCCGCCGCAGUAAGAC
rnacentral:rRNA from 1 species